rnacentral:hammerhead_ribozyme from 1 species
AUAUAACUGAUGAGUCCGAAAUAGGACGAAACGCGCGUCUUGGAU